rnacentral:rRNA from 1 species
AGCCCUUUAUCCUGGCAGAAGGUACAAGAAUGGGGCAUAUUCAUCUUUCCGUCAAGGAUAGUCGAAAGUCCAGCCAGUUUUAUCAAAAGGUGUUAGGGCUAGAGAAUAAAUUCAGUGUGCCUGGCGCUAGUUGGAUUGCGGCUGGAGAUUACCAUCAUCAUUUAGCAGUUAACGAAUGGAGAGGAAAAGGUCUGGCUUCGCGUAAGCAAGGCUUACCAGGUUUAGCCUACUAUGUCAUCGAAGUCGCACAUAAAAAAGAACUGUUAACGAUUGCCCAACGAGCACAAGAAGUUGACGCACCAAUCAAAUGGAUGACAUCGAGCAAAUUGGAAAUCACAGACUCAGAUGGCAUCGUGACCCGUAUUCGUUUAGCAAGGUAAAAUUAGGAAUUUUUAAUAAGUUAUAAGUAUUGCUAGUUUGCUUUUUGAACGGUCUUUGGUAACAGAACUGCGCGAGCUGGAUAGGUGAGAAUUUUGACAAAGAAGCUGAUUAGAGAUAUAAUGAAGAAAAAUCGAGCAAGGAAAAAGAAAUGACAAAUUCAAAGUAUAUUACUUGUUUGAAACGUUCAGAGGGCCAGUUGUGUGGGAUUCAAAAGAUGAUUGAAGGAGAUCGUGACUGUGCUGAUAUUGUGACGCAACUGACAGCAGUGAAAUCUAGUGUAGAGCGCGUGAUUGAGAUGAUAAUUACCGAAAAUCUUACUGAAUGUAUCAAUCAGCCACUAGAUGAUUCUGAAGCUCAAAAGGAACGCUUAGAAAAGGCUAUCCGAUACUUGAUUAAACGGAAAUAAAUGAAUGUUUUGAGACGAUAUGUGCAAAGGUCUAUUAACUAUUAGAAUAGUUUAAUGGGAGUCAAAAGAAGUUGUAAAAAAUCUUUAAAAUUAAAAAAACGCAUAGUAUCAGGUGUUGAAUGUACUGCCCCCAAAAAGUUAGAUUUUUUCUGUCUAACUUUUGGGGUGCAGUUCAUAAGAACCUUGGUAAUAUGCGUUUUAUUAUGGGGAGAUUUAUACUUUUCGAAAAUCUCUUCAAACCAGGUCAACUUCACCUUGCCGUAGAUAUGGUUACUGACUUCGUCAGUUCUAUCCACAACCUCAAAACAGUGUUUUGAGCUGACUUCGUCAGUUCUAUCUGCCACCUCAAAACGGUGUUUUGAGCUGACUUCGUCAGUUCUAUCUGCAACCUCAAAACGGUGUUUUGAGCUGACUUCGUCAGUCGUAUCUACAACCUCAAAACAGUGUUUUGAGCAGCCCGCGGCUAGUUUCCUAGUUUGCUCUUUGAUUUUCAUUGAGUAUAACACAAAAGGUAGCCCAUCAGCUACCUUUUUCUUAUGCUUCCUCAAUCAAGCGAGUAUGUUCUCUCUUGAUACAGCGAUUCAUCACGAUAUCAUCACAUCCACCAUCACGCAAAAUCUCUUUCGCUUUUAAACUUUCAAGUCCUAGCUGUGCCCAAAAAAUCUUGGCAUCAGCUUUGAGAAAAUCACGCGCCACAUCGGGCAGAAAUUCACUGCGACGAUAAACAUUGACAAUAUCUACAGGAAAAGGAAUUUCAGCGAGGCUAGCAUAAGCCUUUUCACCCAAGAUUUCGCCACCUGCCGCCUUGGGAUUGACUGGGAUGAUUUUAUAGCCCCGAGCCUGCAUUUCCUUUGUCACUCGAUUGCUGGUUGUUUCUUCACGGUCAGACAAACCCACCACAGCAAGGGUUUUACUCGUUGCGAGAUACUGACGAAUCACGCCAUCACUUGGAUUGAUAAAUUCUUGACUCAUAGAAAUCCUCCUUUUUCAUCAGUAUAGCACAUUUUGAAAAGGUUUGCAGAAUUCUACUACAAAAAAGGAGGACUAGCCCCCUUUUUAUUUAGCCUCGUACCAGGUUGCCCCUUCAUUCUCAUCUGCGAUAAGAGGAACACUGAGUUGAAUGGCUUCUUCCAUGGUUUGUUUCACCAAUUUUUUCAUCUCUACCAAUUCAGAUUUAGGCACUUCAAGGACGAUUUCAUCGUGCACUUGUAACAGCAUCUUAGUCUGAUAACCACCUGCAACCAAGGCUCUAUCCAGCUGAAUCAUGGCAAUCUUGAGAAUAUCUGCUGCCGAACCCUGGAUAGGUGAGUUGAUAGCAGUUCGCUCCGCAAAACCACGAAUAUUGAAGUUGCGCGAAUUGAUAUCUGGCAACUCACGGCGACGCUUAAAGAGGGUCUCUACAUAGCCCUUAUCACGCGCCUCCCGCACCACUUCAUCCAUGUAGUUUUUAAUACCUGGAAAACGUUCAAAGUAGGUAUCAAUGUAGGCUUUGGAAACUGUUUAACUUGAGUGCAAGAGGGGAGAGUGGAAUUCCAUGUGUAGCGGUGAAAUGCGUAGAUAUAUGGAGGAACACCGGUGGCGAAAGCGGCUCUCUGGCUUGUAACUGACGCUGAGGCUCGAAAGCGUGGGGAGCAAACAGGAUUAGAUACCCUGGUAGUCCACGCUGUAAACGAUGAGUGCUAGGUGUUAGACCCUUUCCGGGGUUUAGUGCCGUAGCUAACGCAUUAAGCACUCCGCCUGGGGAGUACGACCGCAAGGUUGAAACUCAAAGGAAUUGACGGGGGCCCGCACAAGCGGUGGAGCAUGUGGUUUAAUUCGAAGCAACGCGAAGAACCUUACCAGGUCUUGACAUCCCUCUGACCGCUCUAGAGAUAGAGCUUUCCUUCGGGACAGAGGUGACAGGUGGUGCAUGGUUGUCGUCAGCUCGUGUCGUGAGAUGUUGGGUUAAGUCCCGCAACGAGCGCAACCCCUAUUGUUAGUUGCCAUCAUUUAGUUGGGCACUCUAGCGAGACUGCCGGUAAUAAACCGGAGGAAGGUGGGGAUGACGUCAAAUCAUCAUGCCCCUUAUGACCUGGGCUACACACGUGCUACAAUGGCUGGUACAACGAGUCGCAAGCCGGUGACGGCAAGCUAAUCUCUUAAAGCCAGUCUCAGUUCGGAUUGUAGGCUGCAACUCGCCUACAUGAAGUCGGAAUCGCUAGUAAUCGCGGAUCAGCACGCCGCGGUGAAUACGUUCCCGGGCCUUGUACACACCGCCCGUCACACCACGAGAGUUUGUAACACCCGAAGUCGGUGAGGUAACCGUAAGGAGCCAGCCGCCUAAGGUGGGAUAGAUGAUUGGGGUGAAGUCGUAACAAGGUAGCCGUAUCGGAAGGUGCGGCUGGAUCACCU